rnacentral:rRNA from 1 species
GACGAACGCUGGCGGCGUGCUUAACACAUGCAAGUCGAACGGAAAGGCCCUGCUUUUGUGGGGUGCUCGUGUGGCGAACGGGUGAGUAACACGUGAGUAACCUGCCCUUGACUUUGGUAUAACUUCAGGAAACUGGGGCUAAUACCGGAUAGGAGCUCCUGCUGCAUGGUGGGGGUUGGAAAGUUUCGGCGGUGGGGUAUGGACUCGCGGCUUAUCAGCUUGUUGGUGGGUUAGUGGCUUACCAAGGCUUUGACGGGUAGCCGGCCUGAGAGGGUGACCGGCCACAUGGGGACUGAGAUACGCCCCAGAAUCCUACGGGAGGCAGAAGUGGGGAAUAUUGCAAAAUGGGAGGAAGCCUGAUGCAGCAACGCCGCGUGCGGGAUAACGGCCUUCGGGUUGAAAACCGCUUUCGCCUGUGACGAAGCGUGAGUGACGGUAAUGGGUAAAGAAGCACCGGCUAACUACGUG